rnacentral:tRNA from 1 species
UGGAUUUACCCUCGUUAGA